UACGUAGGUGGCGAGCGUUAUCCGGAUUUACUGGGUGUAAAGGGCGUGUAGGCUGGUUUGCAAGUCGGGUGUGAAAGAUUCGGGCUUAACCCGGAGAGGUCAUCCGAAACUGCAGAUCUUGAGUGCUGGAGAGGAUAGUGGAAUUCCUGGUGUAGCGGUGAAAUGCGUAGAUAUUAGGAGGAACACCAGUUGCGAAGGCGGCUCUCUGGACUGUAACUGACACUGAGGCACGAAAGCGUGGGAGCAAACAGGAUUAGAUACCCGGGUAGU
rnacentral:rRNA from 1 species